UACGUAGGGGGCAAGCGUUGUUCGGAAUUACUGGGCGUAAAGCGCACGUAGGCGGAUCUAUAAGUCAGGGGUGAAAUCCCGGGGCUCAACCUCGGAACUGCCUUUGAUACUGUAGAUCUCGAGUCCGAUAGAGGUGAGUGGAAUUCCUAGUGUAGAGGUGAAAUUCGUAGAUAUUAGGAAGAACACCAGUGGCGAAGGCGGCUCACUGGAUCGGUACUGACGCUGAGGUGCGAAAGCGUGGAGAGCAAACAGG
rnacentral:rRNA from 1 species